GUCUUCAGAGGCCUCAGAUGUGUCUGCGGCCCCAGGGACGAGAAAGGGAUGCCGGUCUCGGCCGCCCCCACCAAUUGAUCCAUGAUCGGCUUGGCCAGGGCGCCGGGCAGCGAGAGCGCCGCCGCGCCGUUGGGCGGCAGAGUCAGCGCGGGGAAGAAGGGCGGCUGGUGACCCAGCACCGCGCUCAUGGCGAAGUCCGGCGCCCGGUGAGUGACUUCGCAGGAAGAAGAGCUGGAUGAUGGUUGGAAGGUUCCAGAAGACAUCAUGGGGAGGCACCUCAGGACGGAAAAGUGAAUUAUCCACAAGGAUUCAGUGGCUGCGCUCCUGAUCAAAGGCUGGUGUUGGGAAAGUCUCUGAGGUCAGAAUUGUGAAACGGGACUGAAGGCGCUGACAAUUCUGCAGCAGCACAGACUCUGGGGAGAAGGUGAGAAGAAUGAGGAAAUGGAGGCAUCCCUGCUCUCUCCUCUGCUUAUCUUUCCUGCACUCUCCAAAGAUGAGGAAACUGAUGCUCAGUGAGAUUACCUUUGCCCAAGUUCUGGAAAGUGAUGGAGGCAGCUUUCAGAUGCAGGAUCUUAAUCCUCCGACCAGAGAUUGAACCUGGGUCACGGCAGUGCAGACGCUGAGACCUAACCACUGGACCGCCAGGGAGCUCCCAUUAACUCAUUUAA